UUCUGAUUUAAUGUUAUCAUAAUCCUGGAAUGUUUGUUUGUGGCUCUGGCCACCAUUACAGUUGAAAAUACCCAAUGUCAUGCCAGAGAGUGGAGGACGUGACAUCAACAGAUUCUGUGCUAAAGAUACAUAAAUGGGAUAUAUUAAUGCAACAUUUAGCAGUUGGAAGGUCUGAGUGUUCUGUUCUUCAAAUUGUAGAAGACAAAAUGUUUCCUUUUACCAGGCUUCUGACUCCAAAGACUUACAGCUGGUUGUAACUUGAAGCUUCAUUCAGCUGAUUUGGAAAAUCAAAAGCCUAUGAUUGAGUACUGACUCUGCCAUCAGUAAAUGAACAUAGAUCCCUUGAACACUGAUUAUAUUCUCAGAACACUGGUAUCAGCAGAGUAUUUAGAAGUACAAUGAUAGAAAUAAUGACAACUACGUUAAUGUAGUGUAUCUUAGAGAAGUAGAAGUUCCUUGCUAUGCAGGCACUCUAAAUGAAUUAUAGAGAUAAGAAUACAAUAAAAAAUUAUGAAUGACCUACA